rnacentral:tRNA from 1 species
GCCUUCUUAGCUCAGUUGGUAGAGCGCAUCCAUGGUAAGGAUGAGGUCUCCGGUCCGAACCCGGAAGAAGGCUCCA